CCCGUGCAAGUACCCAGCAUUAAGAAUCGUUCUCUUGCAGAAAAUGCACAACAGGGUUUGUUUUCCACUAUGUGGUACUUCUGUUAAAGCACAUCAUUAAGCUGAAGCACUUGGACUCCAUCUUCAAAGCUGGAUUGAUGGAAAACCUGUAAUGUCAACACCUGGGUGAGGAACAGCCAGCCAAAACCCAUGUAGCAAAAGACAACUGAUAAAUGUGCAAGUCAUUAGGACCAUAUUCUGC